rnacentral:rRNA from 1 species
GACGAACGCUGGCGGCGUGCUUAACACAUGCAAGUCGAACGGAAAGGCCCUGCUUUUGUGGGGUGCUCGAGUGGCGAACGGGUGAGUAACACGUGAGUAACCUGCCCUUGACCUUGGGAUAACUUCAGGAAACUGGGGCUAAUACCGGAUAGGAGCUCCUGCUGCAUGGUGGGGGUUGGAAAGUUUCGGCGGUUGGGGAUGGACUCGCGGCUUAUCAGCUUGUUGGUGGGGUAGUGGCUUACCAAGGCUUUGACGGGUAGCCGGCCUGAGAGGGUGACCGGCCACAUUGGGACUGAGAUACGGCCCAGACUCCUACGGGAGGCAGCAGUGGGGAAUAUUGCACAAUGGGCGGAAGCCUGAUGCAGCAACGCCGCGUGCGGGAUGACGGCCUUCGGGUUGUAAACCGCUUUCGCCUGUGACGAAGCGUGAGUGACGGUAAUGGAUAAAGAAGCACCGGCUAACUACGUG